rnacentral:tRNA from 1 species
GGUUCUGUAGCUCAGCUGGAUAGAGCAACGGCCUUCUAAGCCGUAGGCCACAGGUUCGAGUCCUGUCAGAAUCA